GUGAGUGGCGCGAGCACGAGGAUGCACGGACAGGCGAGAGGGAGGGAGAGAGCGCGCGGAUUCCGGUUGCUCGCUGUUUGAUGCGCUGCGGGCGCGGCUGCAGCUUCCUCCGUCCAGGCGUCCACCCGAUGCCGCUCCUCGCCACCCCACCCUAUAUAACGCCGCGCACGUCAGCGGCCACCGCGGGCCCCGCCACUGCCACCUCUUCCGGUACCUGCUCCCUCCGGGUCCGCCUCCGCGCACCAGGGAGAUCCGCCGCCUCUUCCUCCUCCCGGCUCCCUCGCGCCAUGGCCGCCACCGGAGCCGAUGCCGCCGCCGCUCCCCCGUCCCUGCUCGUCUUUUCAGGUGGAACAGCAUUUAAUGGCGUCGUAGAAGAGUUGAAGAAAGUGACUACCCGGGUUGCGCAUGUCCUACCAGUUUCUGAUGAUGGUGGAAGCACAGCUGAGAUUGUUCGUGUGCUUGGUGGACCUGCUGUGGGUGACAUAAGAUCAAGAUGCUUGAGACUGUCCGAUGAAAGCACUUUGGAAGCACUCUCCGUCCGGAGAUUGCUUGGGCACCGUUUGCCUCUUGAUCCUUCAGAAGCAAAGCUGGAGUGGUACCAUAUUGUGGAAGGAGAACACUCUUUAUGGGAUGGUGUCUCUCGUCCCUACAGGGAAACAAUCCGUGCAUUUUUGGUCUACUUCCAUAAUGAGAUCCUUCGGCGACCAGUUGAAACAUUUUGCUUCACGAAUGGCAGGUGAUUCUUCUAAGCAUUGGGAAUUUCUUUUUUGCUGGCGCACGCAUAUUCUUCCAGUCUUUGGAUGCUGCGAUCUUUUUGUUUUCACGUGUGUCACAAAUCCCUGCGGAAAGUCUUGUGCUUCCAGUAAUAUCCACAAAUGACAGGCUUACUCUGGGGUGUGAAUUAUGGGAUGGAACUAUUAUCCGAGGCCAAAAUGAAAUAUCACAUCCAAGCAAUGGCCGUAGAGAAGUUGUUGACAAGGACUGUAAUUCAUGCAGCGCACUUCCUUCAAGCAUCAAGCGCGUCUUUUACAUGUCAAGUGAAGGUUGCAACCUAUUGCAUGAGGUGUUUCCUGAAGCUAACCAUACAGUUUUGGAGCAGCUAAGUAAGGUGGAUUGCAUUGUAUAUGCGAUGGGGUCGCUAUUUACAUCAGUUUGUCCAUCACUGGUACUGCGUGGCAUUGGUGAGACUAUAGCAUCAAGGUCCAUUCCCAAGGUACUUCUUUUAAAUGGAUCACAUGAUAGAGAAACUAUUGGGCUGUCUGCUUCUGGCUUUGUGACUGCAAUUACGGAUUCUCUAAAUCGGACAUAUGGUGAUCCUGACAAAAGUCUAAAGUAUCAUCCCAAAGACUAUGUUAAUGCCAUAUUGGUUCCUGAAGGAGGCCAAAUUCCUUUAGAUGUUGAAAAUUUGGCAUCUAAAGGAAUUUUUCAUGUGUUAACCGUGAAAUCUGUACACGACACGAAGGUGGGUGUCAUAUUUGAUCCAGUGUCUUUAAUCCAAGCUCUGACCGGUCUGAUAUCCGAGCACAUGGAUGCACGCCUCGCGGAACCUGACCCUCUAACUGAAAACGUGACGUCUGUAUGCUGAAUCUCUCAAGGAUGCACUUUCAGGUACAUAGUAUGCCAGUCCUAUUCUUAUCAUGUUAGUGGUCCUACUUCAGAUAGUGCUGCAGGUUUGCACCAAAAUGACACGGUUGAAAGGAAAACCUAAAAUGCAUAAGAGUAGGUUUUAGUCUCCCUCUCGAAAGAACCGUCAUUCAUUUCAGUUCUGGUGAAUAGCGAUGCUUCCAGACGAUUCGGGUGCCUGCUUCGGUUGCCAGUUCUACUUCCUAUGUGGCACUACUGUGGGAAAGCCAAUAGGGCAAGCUGAUUAAAACCUCUAAAUAUGUGACACUUACGGCAGUCUCAGUGCAUUUGUAUCUAAUUAAGUUAUAGCUAGGUAUAUAACUGUCCUAGUGGCUUGUAUCUUUGUGUUGUAUCUAAAAUUGUUUAAUUGAGCAUGUCGUUUAUGAUCUACUUGGCAUUUUAACCA